rnacentral:rRNA from 1 species
CAUGCAAGUCGAACGAUGAUGCCAGCUUGCUGGUGGAUUAGUGGCGAACGGGUGAGUAACACGUGAGUAACCUGCCCUUAACUCUGGGAUAAGCCUGGGAAACUGGGUCUAAUACCGGAUAUGACUUCUCAUCGCAUGGUGGGGGGUGGAAAGCUUUUGUGGUUUUGGAUGGACUCGCGGCCUAUCAGCUUGUUGGUGAGGUAAUGGCUCACCAAGGCGACGACGGGUAGCCGGCCUGAGAGGGUGACCGGCCACACUGGGACUGAGACACGGCCCAGACUCCUACGGGAGGCAGCAGUGGGGAAUAUUGCACAAUGGGCGGAAGCCUGAUGCAGCGACGCCGCGUGAGGGAUGACGGCCUUCGGGUUGUAAACCUCUUUCAGUAGGGAAGAAGCGUAAGUGACGGUACCUGCAGAAGAAGCGCCGGCUAACUACGUGCCAGCAGCCGCGGUAAUACGUAGGGCGCAAGCGUUAUCCGGAAUUAUUGGGCGUAAAGAGCUCGUAGGCGGUUUGUCGCGUCUGCCGUGAAAGUCCGGGGCUCAACUCCGGAUCUGCGGUGGGUACGGGCAGACUAGAGUGAUGUAGGGGAGACUGGAAUUCCUGGUGUAGCGGUGAAAUGCGCAGAUAUCAGGAGGAACACCGAUGGCGAAGGCAGGUCUCUGGGCAUUAACUGACGCUGAGGAGCGAAAGCAUGGGGAGCGAACAGGAUUAGAUACCCUGGUAGUCCAUGCCGUAAACGUUGGGCACUAGGUGUGG